rnacentral:rRNA from 1 species
GACGAACGCUGGCGGCGUGCUUAACACAUGCAAGUCGACGAGCGGCGAACGGGUGAGUAACGCGUGAGUAACCUGCCCCCUCUCUGGGAUAACAGUUGGAAACGGAUGCUAAUACCGGAUAGUGGGGGAUGGACUCGCGUCCUAUCAGCUUGUAGGUGGGGUAGUGGCCUCCCAAGGCGACGACGGGUAGCCGGCCUGAGAGGGCGACCGGCCACAUUGGGACUGAGAUACGGGCCAAUCUCCUACGGGAGGCAGCGGUGGGGAAGAGUGCUCAGUGGGCGCAAGCCGGAUGCAGCGACGCCGCUUGAGGGAGGGAGGCCUUCGGGUUGUCAACCUCUUUCGCCAGGGAAGCGGUAGCUGGAUAAGAAGCGCCGGCUAACUACGUGCCAGCAGCCGCGGUAAUAC